rnacentral:rRNA from 1 species
GAUCCUGGCUCAGGAUGAACGCUAGCUACAGGCUUAACACAUGCAAGUCGAGGGGCAGCAUGAACUUAGCUUGUUAAGUUUGAUGGCGACCGGCGCACGGGUGAGUAACACGUAUCUAACCUUCCGUUUACUCAGGGAUAGCCUUUCGAAAGAAAGAUUAAUACCUGAUAGUAUGGUGAGAUUGCAUGAUAACACCAUUAAAGAUUUAUUGGUAAACGAUGGGGAUGCGUUCCAUUAGGUAGUAGGG